rnacentral:rRNA from 1 species
GUGGCCCCAAGUCAGGUGAGGCCACCCGCCGAGUUUAA